rnacentral:misc_RNA from 1 species
UCAAACUUGGUCAUUUAGAGGAAGUAAAAGUCGUAACAAGGUUUCCGUAGGUGAACCUGCGGAAGGAUCAUUACCGAUGUCCCGGAGUCUGUGGGGGUCCAUUAAUCCCCCCGACCUCCAUUCGACACACAGACCCACAAGUGCACCUUGGAGGGCACUCCGCGGCCCUUUUUUUUUCCUUAACGCCUGGUAUCGUUAGAAUGUGACUAUUUGAUGUAAUUUAGAACACAACUUUCAACAACGGAUCUCUUGGCUCUCGCAUCGAUGAAGAACGCAGC